rnacentral:rRNA from 1 species
GAUUCCCCUAGUAACUGCGAGUGAAGCGGGAUAAGCUCAAAUUUGAAAUCUGGCAGUCUUUUUUUUCUUCUUUGGCUGUCCGAGUUGUAAUCUAGAGAAGUGCUACCUGCACUGGACCAUGUAUAAGUCUCCUGGAAUGGAGCCUCACAGAGGGUGAGAAUCCCGUCUUUGACAUGGACCGCCAGUGUGUUGUGGUGUGCUCUCAAAGAGUCGAGUUGUUUGGGAAUGCAGCUCUAAAUGGGUGGUAAACUCCAUCUAAAGCUAAAUAUUGGCGAGAGACCGAUAGCGAACAAGUACCGUGAGGGAAAGAUGAAAAGGACUUUGGAAAGAGAGUUAAACAGUAUGUGAAAUUGUUGAAAGGGAAACGCUUGAAGUCAGUUAUGUUGGCUAGGGAUCAACCUAGCUAUUUUUGCUGGGUGAAUUUCCUAGUUUGACAGGCCAACAUCAGUCUUGACUGCUGGAAAAGAGCAGAGGGAAUGUGGCACCUUUGGGUGUGUUAUAGCCUUUUGUCAUAUGUGGCAGUUGGGACUGAGGGAUGCAGCGUGCCGCGAGGCUGGGUUUCGACCACGUUCACGCUUAGGAUGUUGGCUUUUAAUGGCUUCAAUCGACCCGUCUUGAAACACGGACCAAGGAGUCUAACAUGCCUGCGAGUGUUUGGGUGGAAAACCCUUGUGCACAAUGAAAGUGAAAGUUGAGAUCCCUGUCAUGGGGAGCAUCGACGCCCGGACUGGAGCUUUUAGCAAUGGAUCCGCGGUAGAGCAUGCAUGUUGGGACCCGAAAGAUGGUGAACUAUGCCUGAAUAGGGCAAAGCCAGAGGAAACUCUGGUGGAGGCUCGUAGCGAUUCUGACGUGCAAAUCGAUCGUCAAAUUUGGGUAUAGGGGCGAAAGACUAAUCGAA